rnacentral:lncRNA from 1 species
UUUAUGUUUUUAUUCUUUGUUUAUAUAAUGUAUAACCUAAACCUAGACAGUUUUGUUUUUAUUUUAAAUAAAACUGAAACUGUCUAAACUAAAAUGGAUAAUAUUCUUGAAGAACUUUUGUUUGGGGACGAAAUUAGCAAAUGCCGUUAUACAUUUAGCAGAUGUACCUACCUCAAAUUAUUCCAGAAGGAUGAGAUGAAAUUAAAUAUAUUAUAAACCAUAAUUCAAUAUCCAAUUUAGAGAACAUUUUCGUAUGUCCAGAACUACUUUCCAGGAACUAUUUAAUUGUAUUGGUCAUAUCCACCAAUUUGAAAACAGAAUAAUUCUAUUGGAAAAAAUUAAUGUUUAUGAUGUGGAUGCUAAGUAAACCAGAUAAUUUGUUGCUGGGGAUACGUUUGGUUUGCCAAAGAGCUCUGGACAUAAGAUUUUCACCCAAAUAAUAUAGAAUUACAAAAAAUUGGAAAUAACUAAUCUUGAAUAUCAAUGUGUAUAUUGAGUUUAAUUUUAUUGUAAAUAUUCUAUAAUAUAAUUUUAUUGUAAAUAUUGUAUUAACACAUUUGUGGACACAUUUUCAUAUGCAGACAGUAAUUUCCCUUUGUAAGUACAUGCAUAUAUAGUCGUAUCUGCGAAUGGGUUAAUUGUAAAUCGUAAUCAAUAAAAAUUUUUUGUGAAUCAAUAAAAAACUGGUUUGUUUGAAAAUAAAUGUAGUACAAAUGUG